UUCAAUUUAAUUAGAAUAUAAUUAUUCAAUUUAAUUAGAAUAUAAUCAUAUUAUUAUUCAAUUUAAUUAGAAUAUAAUCAUAUUGUUAUUCAAUUUAAUUAGAAUAUAAUUAUUCUAAUUCCUCUAGUAAGUUCAGUAUUUCAUUCCAGAAUCCUAAACUGAAAUGAAAAUUCGAUUCGCUUGCUGCAUAAAGUCGAAUCAACUUUUUCUUCGAUAAAAUUUUACAAUAUUCUUAUAUAAUAAAGAGAAUAAAUUUUUCUUUUGAGUACAAGGUAAAAGGAACUCAAAAGAAGAACUUUUCUGUGGUAAGUUUAUUUGAAGACUAUUAUCAAGAAAAUAUCUUUCAUUGAAGGCCACCAUUCCUCAAAAGGAAGAAAGUAAAUUGAAUGAUGGUCUUUCUUGGUAGCGAAAUGCUAUUUUUCUCUGUGUAAUUGUUUCUCCGCGAUAAUAGUUACGAAUUAUCAGGCAGCUUUUUCUCAGCGUUGUUCGCUGGCGACGGUGACAGUGGCCGAAAUCGUCGUUGGACGGAAAAUCGCCAGCUCGUCGUAGUCCGGCGGAGCACGCGUUCAGUGCUAAAUACGACCGUCUGACUCUCAAGACGCAGUAGCGCCGCGUGUGACCUUCGUUUGAGACACAUAAAACUUAGAACCAGACGGUCGCACUUACCGCUGAAUAACGCCCCUUGUCUCCCGGAGGCCCGCUCGUGCUUUCUACAAUGUAAUUGCUCACCGGGAGUUCUCCUCGAGGUGGAAGAGAGGAGGACGCCCCCAUGGAGGAAAGGACGAGACGAGGGAGAGGAGGACGAGCGAGAAGAAAGGAUCAACAACCUGCGGGCGCUCCUUCGCGGUAUCUUCUGCACGCGGCGAGACCAAUGAGCUGACAACGAACCUAUCCGGGACUACUGACUAGGAUAUGCCGUCGACUCACUGAUCUUUUGGGUCUUGACAAGUAUUUCUUAAAUAUUUUGUAAAAAAGAUGGACGAUAUUGAAGGCGAUAUCGUAAAAAAGAUGUGCUUGAAGGCGCUUUAUUGCCGGGUUUAAGAGCACAUUUAUAAGUGACAAUUCUAUAAAUUUGACUCCAUAUACUUGAUUCUACGUAAACUAUAAAAUAUUCAUAGGAGAUAUUUUGUAAAUUUUAUGAUAUAUAUUCUUAGAACCAUAUUCUGUGAAUUCUUUUAUCGAUAGAAAGCUUUCUGAUUAGCUUAUGAACGCAUUUAGAGGCACUUUCAUCGAUAAGAGAAAGAAUUCUCAUAAGAGAUCAGAGAUUAUAAAAUUUCGAAGUAUUAUGCAAUUACAAACUUCAAAAUAAAAAAAAAAAAAUAUAUAUAUAUAUAUAUAUAUAUAUA